rnacentral:rRNA from 1 species
GACGAACGCUGGCGGCGUGCUUAACACAUGCAAGUCGAACGGAAAGGCCCUGCUUUUGUGGGGUGCUCGAGUGGCGAACGGGUGAGUAACACGUGAGUAACCUGCCCUUGACUUUGUGAUAACUUCAGGAAACUGGGGCUAAUACCGGAUAGGAGCUCCUGCUGCAUGGUGGGGGUUGGAAAGAUUCGGCGGUUGGGGAUGGACUCGCGGCUUAUCAGCUUGUUGGUGGGGUAGUGGCUUACCAAGGCUUUGACGGGUAGCCGGCCUGAGAGGGUGACCGGCCACAAUGGGACUGAGAUACGGCCCAGACUCCUACGGGAGGCAGCAGUGGGGAAUAUUGCACAAUGGGCGGAAGCCUGAUGCAGCAACGCCGCGUGCGGGAUGACGGCCUUCGGGUUGUAAACCGCUUUCGCCUGUGACGAAGCGUGAGUGACGGUAAUGGGUAAAGAAGCAACGGCUAACUACGUG